rnacentral:lncRNA from 1 species
AUCAGAUAUAUAUCUAUGCUUUGAAUUUAUCUAGUUAUGAAUUUGGCAUCUUAAGAUACUAUAUUAGAAAAUGCAACUAAAUUUGAAACUAGCAUAGUAUCAGAAUAUUUAAAUUUGAAUAGGAAGAAGAAAGAUGAAUCUUAAUAUUUAAAUUUGAAUAGGAAGAAGAAAGAUGAAUCUUAUGUUUCCAAUUUGUGGAAUUGGAUACAGCUGAUGUAUUGCUAUCAUCAGAGUUUUCACAACAAUUCUUCUAGCUUAUGUAGAAUGAAGAUAAUAAUAGCAAGUAAUAUUUUGAAGAAUAGUUUCCCUCAUGAUUG